rnacentral:lncRNA from 9 species
CAUUGGUAAGCUGGGACUGCCUGAUUGUAGACAUUUAAGUGAUGUCUGCGUGCUUUGUAAAGAGUGCCCUUCAGCCAGCUGCCCGGCUGGUCACCCCUUCAACCAGCUUUGGUACCAAGCACUGAAAGUGUUUUCACCCUGCCAUGUAAGUAGCAUGAUCUCCAUUCUCCCUGGUAAAGCUGAGGCCGAGGGCAGUGAGGCGAGCGGCCCAAGAGGCCCACAGCAGAUGAGUAAAUCCCACCUUUGAGCUGAGAUCUGAAGUCAGGUUUAUGCAUCUUAUUGCAAAGCCCAGAUCUUCUUCAGUUCCUCGCCCUCCCCCAGGAGAAAAUGGAAAGGAAAAGCCGUUGAGAGCAGGAGGGUGAUUCCUACGAGGAGGUACAGGAGGUGGAGGUUUGAAGCGGGAGCUGCAAUAAGCAGAGUCAGAGACCUGGUGGGUUGGCUAGGAGGCUGGUGCCAACAGUACUGCCACAUGGCCCAGGUUGGAUGAGGGGAAUAGGGUGGUGCCCGCUUGGGCUCCUGGAUGUGGGAGGGUAAAGCCGCCUGGUCCUGAAGAGGGGGGCUGUGUGUGUGAUGCUGGGGCUCCCUCCUCUAUAUGCAGCCACACCAGCAGUGCCCGUGGAAAGGGUGGCUGUGCCUGGAGUCUGGCAGAAAGGCUGGGGCCCAAGAGGAGUCCUUGCAGGAGAAAUCUCUCCUUCUGCCCUAGAUUGGAGGCUGCAGAAAGUCAUUUGGACCAAGUGGGGGCAGGAUGCCGAGGGCAGAGGAGCUGGCUCCCGUUGGUCCCCUUUCUUUCCUCAUCUCCCUUCCCUCUGAACCCCAGUCCAGGGCCCAGGAGGGCUUGGCAGCCUGUUCCUGGCCUCCCCAGCAGAGGGCUCCAGAGCAGAGCUCAGGAUGGCCAUGGGGAGGGAGCGGCAGAAAGCACUGGACAGUCCGCCCUGCUCACAGGUGUCCAGGUCACAGGUGCUCUUUACUGGUGCACAGGUGUGUCUGUCUAUGUGUGCACCCAUGUGGGUGUGUGCAAGUGUGUACAGUAGACGUAUGUUGUUGUGUGGGCAUGUCAGUGUCGGCACGCGGGCACGACUGCCUGCCUGUGUGUUGGGUGGUAUCUAUUCACAUGUGUUUGCUCAUUUUCUCUUUGCACACGCCAGCACUACUGUGGUCCUUGUGCAUAGUUGUGUGCAUGCGGGUGUCUGUAUGCUUUGUGCAUGGGUGUCUCUGGUUGGCCUUGUGCAGAGAAAGCCGAAAAAUUACUGACAAGGUGUGCUGUGGAAUCUCAUCAUUCUCGAGGACAAGGAUGAGGGACCCCCUGCUCCUUCUGUGCCAUCUGACAUUCACACCCUGACCCAGCCGCCUGACUCCUGCCCUCAAUCAACACAGCCCCUGAAUUUGUUUGUUAAAACCUCAUUUACAGCAGGUGUAGUUGACAUCCAGUUCCCAGGAAGCAAGUACUUCCAGAACUGUGUGUGUGUGUGUUCUGGUUCCCUCAUUUGCAGCUCGAAAAUGUUUCUUUUCCAGCAUUUCCAUUGCGGCUCAGAGAGUUAAGAACCCAACUAGUAUCCAUGAAGAUGUGAGUUCGAUCCCUGCCCUUGCUCAUUGGGUUAAGGAUCCGGUGUUGCUACAAGCUGCAGCAUAGAUCACAGAGGAAGCUCGGAUCUGGCUUUGCUGUGACCGUGCUAUAGGCCAGCAGCUGCAGCUCCCAUUCAGCCCCUAGCCUGGGAACCUCCGUAUGGUGCAGGUGCGGUCCUGAAAAGCAGAAACAGAAAAUGCUCUUCUUCUUGUUGGGAAUGAGGAGCAGAGCCCCAGAGAAUGCGGGGAAGGUAGAGGGCUGCAGUGGAGAAACAGCAGGCUGGUGGCUGGUUCAUCCACAGCUGAAGGGAGGCAGCGGCCAUGGGGGCAAGGUCUUGGCCCAGAAGUCUGGGGGGCCCUGGACGGGGCCCAGCUCUGCUACCAGCUGGAGGCCCUGGCUGAUGGGAAGCAGCCUCUCCUGUGGUGGUCUGUGCUGCUGUUCAGCCAGGGCCAUUGGGGAGAACAAAUGGGGUACUCCCCUCACCCUGUGUCGUGUGGAAAAGGCACUUGUCGAAGGGAGUGCGGUCGAGGAUGGCGCCCACCUCAGGAUGGGAGGCUGUAUUGGUUUCCUGUCGCUCCUGUGACAGCUCACCACGAACUUAGUGGUUUAAAAUAAUCCGCAUUUAUUUUACAGUCCUGGGGACCACAAGUCCAAAAUCAGCCUCACCAAGCUAAAGUCAAGGGAUUGGCAGUGCUGUGUGCCUUUUGGAGGCUCUAGGGGAAAUGGGUCUCCUUGCCUUUUCCAGAUUCUAGAAGCUGCCUGCAUCCCUUGGCUUGGGGCCCCUUCCUCCUUCGUGCUGUCACAUCGCCUUUCUAUUGCUUUGGCCUCUUGCCUCCCUCUGGGAAGGACCCUGGUGAUUACCCUGGACCCUCCCAGAUAAUCCAGGACAGUCUCCUCAUCUCAAGCUCCUUGACAUGAUCACAUCUGCCAAGUCCUUUUGGCUGUGAGGUUAACAUUUGUUCACAGGUUCUGGGGAGUAGAUAUGUGGGCCUCUUUUGGGGCCACUGUUUUGUCUACUACCUAGAGAAAUCACAGACAAGCUGGCCAAAGUGGGUAACAGUCUUUUUAAAUUUUUUAUUGGAAUAUGGCUGACUUACAAAAUUGUGUUAAUUUCAGGUGUACGACAAAGUAAAUUAAUUACACAUAUACAUAUAUCAGUUCCUUUUGACAUUCCUUUUUUUUUCUCUUCUUUUUUAGGACAGCCCCUGGGGCAUAUGGACGUGCCCAGGUUACUGGUUGAAUCAGAGCUAUAGCUGCUGGCCUACACCAUAACCAUAGAAACGUGGGAUCCGAGCUGCCUCUGUGGCAUACACCGCAGCUUGUGGCCAUGCAGGAUCCUUAACCUGCUGAGCAAGGCGCAGGGAUGGAACCUGUGUCCUCAUGGAUACUAUUUGGGCUCUUAACCCUCUGUGCCACAACGGGAACUCCCCCUUUGGAUAUUCUUGAUCCUCCUGCGGUUUCACUGAGGCACCAGUGGGACCCUCACUCCUGCCGAGGAGCCAUCUGGUCCUGACGUCUCGUCUGGCGGAUUGAGCCCCAGGAACCAGGGUGCGCUGGCUGCCUAAAGGGCCUUUCCUUUCUGCCUGCCUUCCCGGCAGCCCCUGGCCAGGCACCAGCUAUGACCUCAGCCCACACUGACCCUUCGGUUCCCCCCUCACCCCCUCCCAGCCUGCUCCAGAUCCAGCCUCCGGCCCUGUCCAUGCUCCCAGAACACCCCGCGUGACUCGGUUCCUGUUCUGUCACAGCCCCUACUCCCUGCCCCAGAGGCACCUGGGCUCCAGGCUGCCCAUCCGCCACCCAGCCCUCUCCACACGUGUGAAAACCACACGCAUGGGCGCUCUGCAGCUCCCCGCAGGAAAGCCCAGCCGCAAGACCCAGAGCAGAGGAGAGGGGACACACACAAGCGUGCAGGCCAGUGCCAGGGUUUGGGGAUGGGGGGCGGGGAUCCAAUGGAACAACGGGCCUCCCGGAUGCUGUAUCAAGCCAAACUCCCCAGCAGAGUCAGCACCACAUCUGGAAUUAAGCUGGAAAUUCCAAUUGCUCUCUGCUGCUAAAAAAAAAAUGUGUCAAAUCUUCCCAGAGAUUUUGUGGAAGUGGGAAGCGCUGCGGGGCGGUGGAGGGGAGGGGGGAGCGCUCCCUCCACAGGACCCGUGAGCUUUGGGGAAAUCCAGAUGUCACAAUGUGUCCACAGCCCUCUGGCUGAUGGCUCCCCCAGCCUCCCUCAUCUGUGCUCCCUGCCCCGUGAAAAUUAAAGACGCCUGGAGCAGGGGAGGGGCUGUUUCGCUUCUCCCAAGGACCCACACGUCCGUUCAUGUAAGCGCAUGUGAGACUGUGACUUUUUUUGAUAGGGAUUGAGUUAUUUUUUCCUGGAGAGGAAAACGUUGACAUGCCUUUGGUGGAUCGUCCGCCCAGAAAUUUCCAAUGCAUGAAGAAGCUGUGCUCUUCCCUUUGCUCUAACACACACACACACACACACACACACACACACACGCACACACCUUCCAAAGGCCCAGAACUCACUGUGUGGUCUGAGCCCCUUCAGGGCCUCGCUGCACUGCUAGCCCAGCCCCAACCAGUGCGGGAUGGGGAUUCCAUAGAGCUGGGUCUGCAGGGCCAGGGAAGCUUGGACCACUUGCUCGUUCUCAAUCUCUAGGCAAGUGGAUGAAUUUCCUGUUACUGCUGUAACAAAUCACCACAAGCUGAGUGACUUCAACAACACAAAUAUAUUCUCUUACAAUUCUGGAAGUCGGAAGUCCAAAAUCAGCCUCGCUGGGCUAACGUCAAAGCAUCUCCAGGGGAAAAUCCAUUUCCUUAUCUUUUUUCACAUCUAGAGGCUACCUCUAUUCCUUGGCUUAUGGCCCCUCCCUUCUAUAGCAAGCAUCCUCUCGGGUCCUUACCCAGAGCAUCAGAGGGUCUGUCUCCCCAGGCCUCUUCCCGUUCUGAUACUAACAUCCUAGGUCUCUGGGACCUUGGGGGAAAUGGGCCCGGCCCCUCCCCACUCUCCUCUUUGCUGAAUCUCUGGGGCUCGUAUUGUCUCUUUUUGUCCUCUUCCUCCAGCCCAGGAGUCUGACAUCCCAGGCUGGGGCUUUUGCCCCUCAGUUUCAUUCUCAACAAGUGAAGAAUUCAUCCCAGCCCCAACUUAGUUUAGGAUCUGAAUUAUACUUUUCUCCAAGGCAGGGCUCUCGACUGCCCAGCUGUCAUGCGGGGGCCAAGGAUCCUGAUCCCGAUUCAAGGAUGUUGGGUGGGUAUCCAAGACGUCCAAAUGGAGGGGCAGGGAUGCGGGUACCCUUCCUGGCAGUGGUCCUUACCAGCCUGACCUCCCAGAGCUCAGGCCACCCGGUCACAGCGUGACAUUGAAAGUCCCUCGCCAGGGAGAGAGGGAUGAGGCUGACCCAGCCUGGGUAGUCCCAUGGGACCCAAUAGUACAGACUGGUGUCCUUGGUGGCCUCCCGAGUAAAGAGCCUCUUUGAGCCAGACCUUCCUUCUUCCUUUUCUUUCUUCCUUUCCCUCCCUUCCUUUUUGUCUGACCCAGUGCCUGGUCCUUUGUCAGGCACAGGAUAAGAGCUGGAAGGGCUCGGUCCCCCAGCCUGUGAGAAGCACUGCCCACAGCCCCUCCCAAGCAGUGAGAGUUCCCAAGUGUGGAAGCCAAAUGGGGCUGCCCGAGGUGCCAGGAGGGCUUCCUGGGGCUGGUGGUGCUGCAUUUUCCACCCUCAAACACACUAAAACACUGAGCCACCCGCACACGCCAUGUGAGGGGAGGCAGCCACGCUUCGGCUCGUGCUCUUCCCACUGCUCGACAUCUUUCCACUUGCCUCUCCUGGAUAGCUCUGGCUCAGGUGCCACCUCUUCCAGGAAGCCUUCCCUGAAGUCUGGGGAGGUUGAAUCUCCUCCUUGAUUCUCCUAGCGCCCCACAGAGAGGCUCCUCGUGUCCAAGCCAGAAACUGAUUUUAUGCUGCAGUCAAGAGAAAGCCUUGGCCUUGGAGGGGCCUAGAGUGGAGGGGGACAGUGUCUGGUGAAAUGGCACUGGGCUUUGCUGAGCCUGCUUUUUUUGAGCCGAUGGGCCCUUACAGAUCCCCCAGUCCAUCUCCUUUCCGGAUAGUGGUGCUGGGACCAGAAAACCCUUCUCCUGGUUUUAGCCCUCUGUCCUUCCCAUGACCCAUCCCAUCUUGAUGGGGGCUGUGUCCUGACCACCUCAGUGUCCGUGAGUGCUUGGUGAACCAACAUGCGGGGGUGCUUAUGGGGGAACUGAACCCGCCAGAGACAAGUGUUUCGGAGGCACAUGGCAUUGAUGUCACCAUUUGGUCACAUGCUGUCCUAACUCUCAAAGUGGAGCCUAGGUUUCAUAUUAUCCCUUUAUGGCAGAGAUGCUAAGAGAAAGAUGGGUCUGAGUUCCAGCUCGGCCUCUUCUGAGCUGUGUGACCUCUUUGAGAAACAUCUGGAUCCGAGAUCCAGCUUGGCCUCUUCUGAGCUAUGUGACCUCUUUGAGCUCCCACAUCCUCAUCAGCAAAACGGGGACCCGCGCUGGACAGACCUUUGUUUUGAUGAUUAAAUAAGAUGACAUAUGCCAAGUUCCCAUUGUGGCACAGCGGAAAUGAAGCUGACUAGUGACCAUGGGGUUGCAGGUUUGAUCCCUGGCCUUGCUCUGUGGGUUGAGGAUCUGGCGUUGCCGUGAGCUUUGAUGUAGGUUGCAGACGCGGCUAGGAGCCAGUGUGGCUGUGGCUAUGGUGUAGGCCUGCAGCUGUAGCUCUGAUUCGAUUCCUAGCCUUGGAACUUCAUGUGCCAAGGGUAUGGCUGGCCCUAAAAAGCAGUAAAUAAAUAAAUAAGAUAACGUAUGAGAAGUCAGCAAUUCUCUGGCACAUAGAUAUGCAUCCGAAUAGUGGCUAAAUAUUCUCCUUCUUCACAAUUUCAUUCUAGGGGCUCAACCUUCUGGAAUCAGGAAAAUUGUCUGAUUAAGUGGAUUCAUGCUGAUUCCAGCCUCAGCUCUAUGCAAAGGAUUCUGAUUCCCUAAGUCUGGGAAGAGUUCCCAAACUCAUUAUUUUAUUUGUCUUUAUUUUUAAAUAAACAUCCUGGGUGAUCCUGAUGCUUAGCCAGGUUUGGAAGCCACUGGAAUAAGUGAUGAUGGGGUUUUAUGUUCAUAAAGACCAACUUGUGUCCUCAAAAGUAGGGUUUUAGCUUAGAGGUACCUUCCCACGGCCCCUGGAACCACAGCAGGUGGGACCCUCUCUCUCCCCAUGGGGGGAGGGGGUGACAUCCCUCUAGAGCAGCCCGCAGGAAGGGAUGGGGGCCGCGCCAGCUGUGUCCCCUCCUGCAGCUGUUUCAGUGCCAUAGCCCCGUGGAAACCACUGUGAAAUUCAUUCUCCACAUCUCCCGAAGUUGGGCCAGGUGGCUACUGGCUGGGGCAGCUGAUCCCACCCGACAAGAGGCCUGCGAGCCAGGGAAAUACAGCCACCCGCCUCCACUCAGCACAGGGCCCCCCGUUCCACCCUCCCGGGCCAGUAAGUGCUUUUUGUCCCAGAUCAACUCAAAUCCUCCCCCGGGAAAACUUUUCUUUCCUCAGGAAGCACCCAGCUCUUGCCUUGCUGCAGGUUCUCUCAGGGCUGUCUGGCUCUGGAACCUGGUCAGGACUGGAUCCCGCCUCCCAGGGACCCCUGAGGCCUGGGGCUGAGUUGGCUGCUCUGGGAAAAUGCAAGCGGAGGAGGCGGGAAGCUGCAGAUUCCACUCAUCCGCCCGAGAAUGGCAGCGGGCCGGAGCUCUCCCUGCAGCAGGGAGCUGAGCUUUUUAUGAGCUGCACGGAGCUACAGAAGCAGGGAUUUGGCUGAGGAAGAAGGGAAAGGCCCAGAAUGAGAGCACUGUCCUCCGUCAAGGACACAGGACUGUUGACGUGGGAGAGAUGGGCGCAGCCUCUGGAUCAAGUCCACGGGGAGGAGGAAAUGGUUUUCACUGAAAAACAAAGUUGAAAAACAGUUUACUGAAGGGACAAGAAGGAGGAAAGGGGGUGGGGAACCACCUCAAACUGUCUGAUCAUCAAAAUCACCUAGUCAGUUAAAAAUACAGAUUCCAGUCCUCGUUCCAAGUCAAUAAAAUAUUAUUCUUGGU